rnacentral:misc_RNA from 1 species
GGAAAAAUUUGUCCCGGGAAAAGUCCGCUUUUAGGACCUUUCUGUGACGGACAAUUUUGAAUUCAUAAACAGAAACAAAAUGUAACUGUACUGCUGUGGGAUUUGAGUUGUGUAUUUUCAUUCUAUGAAUGUAAACUGCCAUUACUUAUGCAAACAAUUUACUGUUUGUGAAAGCAUAUCAUUUAUGAAAUGUUGUGAUAACUUUCUUAUUGUAUUAUACAAUACAAAUUGUUUUAUACGGACCGUGAGCACUUUUACUGGUACACGUCGUCACAAUAAAAGAGGGGGUAAUCU